rnacentral:misc_RNA from 1 species
AAACAGAGGCCCCAGGCUGAGC